rnacentral:rRNA from 1 species
GUGCCAGCCGCCGCGGUAAGACGAACCGUGCGAACGUUGUUCGGAAUCACUGGGCUUAAAGGGCGCGUAGGCGGCUUGUCAAGUCGGGGGUGAAAUCCGGCAGCUUAACUGUCGAAGUGCCUUCGAUACUGACAAGCUCGAGGGAGGUAGGGGUCUGUGGAACUUCUGGUGGAGCGGUGAAAUGCGUUGAUAUCAGAAGGAACGCCGGUGGCGAAAGCGACGGACUGGAUCUCUUCUGACGCUGAGGCGCGAAAGCUAGGGUAGCGAACGGGAUUAGAAACCCGCGUAGUCC